GCGGCUUGUCACGUCGGGUGUGAAAGCCCGGGGCUUAACCCCGGGUCUGCAUUCGAUACGGGCUAGCUAGAGUGUGGUAGGGGAGAUCGGAAUUCCUGGUGUAGCGGUGAAAUGCGCAGAUAUCAGGAGGAACACCGGUGGCGAAGGCGGAUCUCUGGGCCAUUACUGACGCUGAGGAGCGAAAGCGUGGGGAGCGAACGGGAUUAAAUACCCUGGUAGUCCACGC
rnacentral:rRNA from 1 species